UUUAAAACGAACUUAUUCGUUUGAUUAAUUAAAAUAUUAAUUAAUUCUUGCCAUAAACAAUUAAACCAUUUAAUUGUCCUUACUCAUCUUCGUUGUUUCUUCAAUCUUACACGGUGUACGAUCCAUUAGGUUCCUUUUAGCGAGGCAGUGGGCGAUUAGAACUCUUUCAAAUCGAUUGUGAAUUGAAACUUACUUUCCAUUCUCCCUUUAGUGAUUAUACACGUUUAGGGCUUC
rnacentral:lncRNA from 1 species